rnacentral:rRNA from 1 species
UUUGAUCCUGCCGGAGGCCAUUGCUAUUGGGAUCCGAUUUAGCCAUGCUAGUCGUACGAGUUCACACUCGUGGCGAAUAGCUCAGUAACACGUGGCCAAACUACCCUUCGGAGAACAAUACCCUCGGGAAACUGAGGCUAAUAGUUCAUGCCAUACCACCACUGGAAUGAGUGGUAUGCCAAACGCUCCGGCGCCGAAGGAUGUGGCUGCGGCCGAUUAGGUAGACGGUGGGGUAACGGCCCACCGUGCCAAUAAUCGGUAUGGGUCAUGAGAGUGAGAACCCAGAGACGGAAUCUGAGACAAGAUUCCGGGCCCUACGGGGCGCAGCAGGCGCGAAACCUUUACACUGCACGACAGUGCGAUAGGGGGAUCCCAAGUGCACAGGCAUAGCGCCUGUGCUUUUCGGCACCCUAAGGCGGUGCCAGAAUAAGGGCUGGGCAAGACCGGUGCCAGCCGCCGCGGUAAUACCGGCAGCCCAAGUGAUGGCCGAUCUUAUUGGGCCUAAAGCGUCCGUAGCUGGCCACGCAAGUCCAUCGGGAAAUCCACCUGCUCAACAGGUGGGCGCCCGGUAGAAACUGCGUGGCUUGGGAUCGGAAGGCGCGACGGGUACGUCCGGGGUAGGAGUGAAAUCCCGUAAUCCUGGACGGACCGCCGAUGGCGAAAGCACGUCGCGAGAACGGAUCCGACAGUGAGGGACGAAAGCCAGGGUCUCGAACCGGAUUAGAUACCCGGGUAGUCCUGGCCGUAAACAAUGUCUGCUAGGUGUGGCUCCCACUACGAGUGGGUGCUGUGCCGCAGGGAAGCCGCUAAGCAGACCGCCUGGGAAGUACGUCCGCAAGGAUGAAACUUAAAGGAAUUGGCGGGGGAGCACUACAACCGGAGGAGCCUGCGGUUUAAUUGGACUCAACGCCGGACAUCUCACCAGCAUCGACUGUAGUAAUGACGAUCAGGUUGAUGACUUUAUCCGAGCUUCAGAGAGGAGGUGCAUGGCCGCCGUCAGCUCGUACCGUGAGGCGUCCUGUUAAGUCAGGCAACGAGCGAGACCCGCACCCUUACUUGCCAGCAGUAUCGCGAGAUAGCUGGGGACAGUAGGGGGACCACCGUGGCUAACACGGAGGAAGGAACGGGCAACGGUAGGUCAGUAUGCCCCGAAUGUGCUGGGCAACACGCGGGCUACAAUGGUCGAGACAAAGGGUUCCAACUCCGAAAGGAGACGGUAAUCUCAGAAACUCGAUCGUAGUUCGGAUUGUGGGCUGCAACUCGCCCACAUGAAGCUGGAUUCGGUAGUAAUCGCGUGUCACAAGCGCGCGGUGAAUACGUCCCUGCUCCUUGCACACACCGCCCGUCAAAGCACCCGAGUGAGGUCCGGAUGAGGCGCGCCACGCGCGUCGAAUCUGGGCUUCGCAAGGGGGCUUAAGUCGUAACAAGGUAGCCGUAGGGGAAUCUGCGGCUGG